CUAAGCGUAAGAGGAGGGGGAAGAAGGCAAAAUGCUGGUAACAGUUUCAAUGGGUGGAGGGUUACAGUAGAAAGGUCUGGCAUAGAGGUUGUAGAUUGAGUUCCAGUCAGGAGGAGGAGGAGGAGGAGGAGGGAGGGGGGGGGAGCGGGGAUAGGAGGAGGAGAAGAUCUGACAUAGAGGUUGUUGAUUGAGUUCCAAUCAGGAGGAGGAGGAGAAGAUCUGACAUAGAGGUUGUAGAUUGAGUUCUAGUCAGGAGGAGGAGGAGGAGGAGGAGGACGAUGUCUCCGACCCAUAGCCUCUCAAUAUCUUAUUCCUUUAAUGAAUCCAUACUUCAGGAUAAAAAAUGGAAAUAAGAAAACUUUAUUUGUUGCUUGCAAACUAUUCAUACUUAAGAACAUUCAUUUUAACUUGCCAUUGUAACUAUCAUUGUUUGUUGCUUGCAAACUUCUUCUUCUUCUUUUUCUUUGUUUGAUUACAUGUAUAAACUAGGAUUCUCUAAGUUUCAUGUGGGAGCUGGAGGAAAUUUGUGAAGUACAUGCACAUCUAUGUUAUUUGGGGGCUGAAUAAAUGUGUAGAUCAACAUAGAUAUGCUGUGUCCUGGAGUAUUGAAAAGGAAUUGUGCUUAUGAAGGAAAUUGAUGAGGGAUUAGGAAACUGAGCUCUGGGAGCAUUUCAGGUGCAUAGAGAACAAUUGACUCUUUGAAAAUGGAUUUCAAGAUGGGAUGGGCUGUGAUAAUGUCAGAAGCUUAGGGAUUCGGGUAGAUUGCUUGUUUAGAUUUCUUAGACAAGUUUGCCAAUGUAAAGAUAUAGAGAAGUGACUGUGGAAGGACAUCAUGAGUUGUUUUGUGGUCAAAUCCCUCCAAAAAGUGAUCAAGGGGGGAGGAAGACUAGAGGUCUAACUACCUCGUUUGCAUUAUUCUGGUUCCACCUUGCAUUUAUUCUUUGGACAGCUAGUUACCAUUAAAGGCCUUUCCACCGUUUGUUAUGAUGAGUUGGCAGGGAAUGAAUAAGAAAGGAUAAGGUUUUAAUGGGAAGAAGGAUAAGGACAAAAUAGUAAAAAUGGUAUCUGUUAGAAACUCUUUACAAGCUCCCUGAGUUAACAGGUUUUGAGUUUUUUUUUUUUAACUUGGUAUGACGGGCAGUCAAAAAGUCCAAUACACCUUAUCAGUAUGUCAUGAUCGUUUCUUCAGAAAAUACUGGUGCAAGAUUGAAUAGGAGCCGUCCAUUUUCUAGAUGGCAAGAUUGAG
rnacentral:lncRNA from 1 species